UACAGAGGGGGCAAGCGUUGUUCGGAAUUAUUGGGCGUAAAGGGCGCGUAGGCGGUCGGAUAAGUCUUGUGUGAAAUCUUCGGGCUCAACUCGAAGUCUGCACGAGAAACUGUCUGGCUUGAGUGUGGGAGAGGUGAGUGGAAUUCCUGGUGUAGCGGUGAAAUGCGUAGAUAUCAGGAGGAACACCUGUGGCGAAAGCGGCUCACUGGACCACAACUGACGCUGAGGCGCGAAAGCUAGGGGAGCAAACAGG
rnacentral:rRNA from 1 species